rnacentral:piRNA from 1 species
UAUAGGUCGUUGAUCUUAAUGCUGGA